rnacentral:rRNA from 1 species
UUGAAAGGGAAACGAUUGAAGGCAGUCGGACNCGCGGGAAAUCAACCUUUCGAGUGGGGUUUUGGAGUUUUGAAGUGUGUCAAAACCUUUGAGAUUUCAAAAUAUUCGCUCUUUUGGUGUACUUUCUCGUGGGUAGGUUAACAUCGAUUUUGAUCAUCAUAAAAAGAUUGGAGGAAUGUAGCUUCGAUCUUGUAUUGAAGUGUUAUAGCCUUUGGUAAAUGUGAUGAUUAGGAUCGGGGAUUGCAACGAAUACCCUUUUGGGCUAUCCGCCUGAUCUCUGAUACGUGGCCUUGGUAUCGAAAGCGUGCUUAUGGUAUUGAGGUAUUACGGUCAAAAGGUUAGAACGGAUUACAUUCGUUAAGGAUGUUGACGUA